AGGGUUAUAAUUAGUUCAUAGUGAAAUGUAAAUCAUACUCAAUGUGCAUUGUGUGCAUUUUUAAUAUAGUUAUAAUUAGUUCAUAGUGAAAUGUAAAUGAUGAUGUUAUUGUAUAUUUCUUGCAUCACACAGAGUUAUAAUUAGUUCAUAGUGAAAUGUAAAUACUUACAAUCCCUAUGGCAAAAGAAAUAUGUAUGCUGUUAUAAUUAGUUCAUAGUGAAAUGUAAAUGUGCGUACGACGCUAAAAAUGCACUACAGGCUAUAGUUAUAAUUAGUUCAUAGUGAAAUGUAAAUACCAACCUACAACACCUGGAUUAAGGUUAAUAUUUACCGUUAUAAUUAGUUC
rnacentral:sRNA from 1 species